rnacentral:lncRNA from 1 species
GGAUAUCCAUGUGCAAAAGAAUUAAUUUGGACCAUUUUCGUAAACCAUUUACAAAACUCAUUUUGAAAUUGAAAAAGAUUUACAUAUUUGAUCUAAAAAUAUAAAACUCUUGGUAGAAAAUUUCCUUGACAUUGGUCCUGGCAAUAAUUUCUUGAAUAUGAAACCAAAAGCACAGACAGCAAAAUCAAAAACAGACAAGUUGAAACACCUCAAACUAAAAAAAAAAAAAUUCUACAAAGCAAAUGAAACAACAGAGUGAAAAAGGCUUUAGGGAAUAGGAGAAACUAUUUGCAACAAAAGCAUAUGUGAUAUGAUGUUAAUCUACAAAAUAUAAGGAACUCCUACAACUCAAUAGCAAAAAAAAUGCUCAAAUAAUCUGAUUUUUUAAAUGGGCAGAGGACUUGAAUAGACAUUUCUCUGAAGAAGACAGAAAAAUGGCCAAUGAGAAUAUGAAAAGAUGCUAAAUGUUGGUAAUCAAUCAGGAAAAAGCAAAUAAGAUAAACAUAACACUUCACACCUGUUAGAAUGGUCAUUAUCAAUAAACAAAGCAAAACAAAACAAAAUAACAAGCACUGAUGAGGAUGGGGAGAAACCCUUGUACACUCUUGAUAGGACUGCAAAAUGAUACAGCCACUAUAGAAAACAGGAUGGAGUUUCCUCAAAGUAUUAAAAACAGAACUACCAUAUUAUCCAACAGUCCAACUUCUGGGUAUUAGUCCAAAAAGAACUUAAAUCAGAAUCUCAAGAAUAUAUUUGCAAUCCCAUGUCAAUGCAGCAUUUUUCACAAUGUCCAACAGUGGCAGAAAAGCUAAUUCUCCAUUAAUGAAUGGAGAAAGAAGAUAUGGUUUAUACCUAUAAUGAAAUACUACUCAGCCAUUAAAAAAACAAGGAGGUUUUGCAAUAUAUGACCCCAUGGUAAACAUGGAAGAUGUCAUGCUAAGUGAAAUAAGCCAGUGACAGAAGGACAAAUAUUACAUGACUCCAUUAAUGUGAAUUAGCUGAAACAGGCACAUUCAUAGUAACAGAAAGAAGAAUGGUUGCCCCUAGGGGCGGGGAGGAGAGGCAAUGGGGAAUUGCUGUUCAGCUGGUAAAGAAUUUGUCAUAUAACAUGAAAAAAAGUUCUAGACACUUGCUGUACAAUAAUUGUGCUUAUUGUUAAUACUGUACCAUGCAAAGCUGAAACAUAUAGAGAUUUAUAGGAAGAAGGAAGAAAACUUUAGGCUUGUAGUGUCAGCCAUGCAGUGAGAGAGACCACAGUUCCUAGGGAACUGCUCUUCCAGUGACUCCAGCAGCUCCCUCCACUGAAGAAAUCCAUGGCUGGAGCAAUUAUCAAGACCCCCUGCAGAUUUUACUAGAUUUUGCCCCACAUGUAUUUGCACUUCCUGAUGCCAGCCACUUGAGUCCCCCUCUACUGCCCCAACCACCCCUUCCAUAUACAAUGGAAUAUUGCAGCAUUGUUCUCCAAGCCAAGAUAUGGAAGAAAACCUAAGUAUCCAGCUGUGUACUUAAGGCCACUGAACUAUACAUUUGAAAAUGGUUAAAAUGGAAUGAUUUAUGUCAGGUGUAGUUUUUUUAAGUAGUUUUAUUUUAAUAAAUGGGUUGAUAGGUGUAGCUAUAUAAGUACCAACUAAUCAACAAAGGACAUUUUUUCAGUUUCACCAAAGGACUUUUAUGUGAAGACCUGGACUCUUCUCUUGACCCUUUACAUUCUCCCUCACCUCAUGAGAGAUUCCCCAGGCUUUAUCUAUGCUUUUGCCUCUGUCUCCUUAGAAAUCAAUAAACUAACAAGGUUUCCCUUGGCACCUUUCAUCUAGGAUUCUAAGAAAACCAAUGCUUUGGUAGCCUGAGAUUCCUUGGUCUCUCCAGAUCAGGAAUUGGACCUUGGCCACAGCAGUGAAAGUGCCAAAUCCUAACUUCUAGACCAUCAGGGAAGUGCCUCUAUGCAGAGGUCUCUACUUCUCUCCAAGCAAGAUGUUUAAGGAGUUCCCUGGGCUUGCUACAUGGGGAGGCUUCCUGUCUCCCUGAAGUGAAGUCAUAUGCAGGACAGUCAGGUUCUUCCAAACCCCCACCCAAUCCCUCAAUGCCUGAUGGAGCCUGAAGGUGGAAGGUGGUGGAUAGUUGGGGAUGGAUGGAUGGCUCAUGAUUCCGGGGUCACCCCUCAGGAGGGAGAAGAAAAGCGGCCACUUCAGGAAUGGACAAUGUUAUGUCUAGGCUGAGACAAAAAUCACAGGCACUCAAUACUGCAGGUCUUGACACCUGCCUCUGGAAUAUUUUAUUGGCCUGCUCUGAACAAUCCCUCUGUGCCCUAAGCCCUCCAAUUCUCCUCUAGACACUGGGCCAAUAAGGCUGAGGAGAAGGUGACCCUGGCUGUCACCAUUGCUUAUCUGAGUAAGUAGCAGGUAUCCUCAAUUCUAUACCUAGAGUAUUUCUAACAUGGAGUGUGAGAAACUUUCACACCUUCCUAUCUGAUACAUUCAUUCUUACCGAGAAGGAAAACUAAUGGUAUAAUUACAUGCAGCAAGUAAAGGCCAGGGUUGAGCUAAAAGAUGGGUUAUCUCAUCCUUCCCACCCUGCCUCCUGUAUUUCUCUGAGGGCUUCAAGCUCCUCCACACACCUUGUUUCCCUUCUCCAUUCACAAAAUGGAGGGAGGAUUGGCUCUGAGUGGGUGAAACUCCAAAGGGAUUGACCCUUUCAUAGGAAGAGUGUAGCUCGAGGAUGCUGAUGCAUAAAAUUCCAGCUUCUGUCAUCCCAGAAUGUCCCCAAUACCUCCUCCUUGAGGCCUAGAAUGGCCCUCUGCAAAUAGAUGACCUAGAUUGGAAUUUAGGUCUGGAUAUUUUCUUUAGCACUGAAAGCUUGUCUUAAAAACUAUCCUUUAAAAAAAAUCUGUAAUACACAUGAAGGCAGAAUUUUUUUUGGAUGAAAAGGAAGAAUUCUGGGACUGCUAGGUCUUGCUAUUCACACUAUACCUCACCAGUUACAUGUCUGUCACACAGGGGUGUCAACCAUGUGUUAGAACAAGAAUGGAACAAGAGAUGUGGGAAGAUUUGAAGCUCUGUCCUGGGGGCAGGGGUCAGGGGACAGGUGACAGUGAAGGCAGAAGACAGAUGACACAGAAAAGUGGAGUCUCAGGAAUAUGUGGUCAUUGUCCUUAAACACCUGCAGAGUGACUUGGUGUCUCCUCACCUAUGUGUCCCCAGGACGUCUUGUGACUGCUGGAAUUCAGGACGUGCUUGCUGAAUGCUUAACAAAUCAAUAAUUCCACAGGAAGGAGAAAAGCAAAAUUGUGGUCAAUUGUUAUAACUGAAGGGAACUAUAUCUCAUCUCUUGGGAGAAACCAUGAUGGAAGAUAAUAGAAGAAAUAGAAUGUAUAUAUAUAUAUAUGUAUGACUAGGUCACUUUGCUGCACAGGAGAAAUUGACACAAUGUUGUAAAGGAACAAUAACUUUUAAAAUACUAAAAAACACAAAAAGAAAGGCUAUUGGAAGUGUGAGGUUUAGAAUUCUUGACUCCUGGCUUUAACACCAAAAUUAUAGAUGUGGUUCCUGGCGAUUCCAUGAAGUUAGAAGGCAGUGGGUUCUCUGUCUCUAGAUGUAUUCAAGCCAGAUGACCACUGUCAAGGCUACUCUAGGGUUCCUGCUCUGGGUGAUGGUUUGCAAAGGAUGAUCUCUGAGUUUUCUUCUGACUCCAAGAUUAUUUAGGUCUAUACACAUUUCUUCAGGCACUUAUGGAACACCUAUUAUGUUCCAGUUUCCUAAGGUUUAUAUAUGCAAACCUAUUGAUUAAUGUUGUUAAAGAGCAGAAAUAAUUAAAGUACCACACUUCAUCCACCAAGAGCACAGGGAUGGAUGCAGGUCCAGGGCUUCUCUCUUUACCUCAAUCUCUUUCAAAAUCACAAUAAUAAUAAGCCACUAAUUAUCAGAUUCACAGUAAAUUGUCACCUGGCACCCUGAGUUUUGACUGCCUUUACUCUUCUCCCAAGUUUCCUUCUUAAUGAGCCCCCUGGAGAUGGUGCAUGGAAAGAGAGUGUCUCCUUGGGGAGAGGUCACAUGAAGGGGGACCACCUCCUUCUAGAUACCUACUCUUCCUCAUCAUUUGAGUGAAUCUGCAGAGAUCAGUGAUGUAGCUAUGGAUGAGAGGAAGCCUUGGGGUCCAGAUGCCUGGAGCUAUUCUGAAAAAUUUCUUCUCUAAAGGGCAAGAGAGCAGACUCUGAGAUGACAAUCAAAUGCACAACUCUCAGAGGGGAUGAGUCCUGUCAGCUCCUACGCUAAGCCUCUCUCUUUUCUUCAUUCACUCAACAUGAGAGCUCUACCUACAUCCCCAGCCCCACCUCCCUCCCCUCAUCACCAAGGCCAAUGAGGCUACAGAGGAGAUGCCUGGACCCUCUGAUGGCCACACCAGGGUCACCAGCCCUUUUCUGAGUAAGUAACUAUCAUCUUCCACCUCAUCACUAUGCCCAAGUCCUACAAAUUCUUGGGUAUUAGAAGCUGAGACAUCAUUUUGCAUAACAUCCUCUUUUUAUAAGAGUGAAUCAUAAAGCUCAGCAUAGCAGAGCCUACAAACCAGGUCACCUGCCUAAACAUCCAAUGUCCUUGUCUCCACAAUUCUCCAUUCCCCCCUCCCCAUUUAUAUAACACAUGAAAGAUUUGUUCCUGGAGAGUAAGACCUCAAGGAAGGAAGCUCUUCUCUGGGGAUAGGAAAGAUGUAACUAUCCCAGCACUGUCAGGUAGAACCCAGCUUCUAUUGGCCCAGCCUCACCCCUGGUCAUCCCCAAAGCCAGGCCUACUAUGGAAGCCUCCAGAUGAUCCAGCCUCACCCCAACUUCUGAAUAUCUUCUGAACAUAUGGCCCUGUGCUGACACAUGGGCAUGAUAUGGGGAGACUGUAGCACUGGGUGAAUUACUCUCUCGCUGAGUCAGAAUUUUCCCUACAGAAAGUGAGUAUGCUGUUUUCAAGUAUAUCUUCAUAAUAUUUCCUCAUGUAAUUUAGUAUGUAAAACACUAGACAGAAGAAUUGCUCUGAUUCACAAGAAAGGGACCUGGAGUCCCACCCAUUCAGUAUUCCCUUCAGAGUCUGGACCUCUCCUGGAGUGGUCCCCCCAAGGAAGCAUGCUGUGGAAAUCUAUGACAUGGACAAAUGCUUAAGAUCACUUCCACCUCCAACAACCUACAAGUUUACAAAUGUCCCCCAAGAAAUUACAAGCUAAAAGGGAAUAAAUGGCAUCACACAGGGAGCUUGAGCCAAGCCAGCCAGUAGCUUAAAAAGGAGGCUAUAGCUGGUGGGAUGAUUUAAUGCCAAAUCCUUUUAGGUAAGAUCUCAAAAAAAAAAAAAAAAAAAAA